rnacentral:rRNA from 1 species
CUUGGUCAUUUAGAGGAAGUAAAAGUCGUAACAAGGUCUCCGUAGGUGAACCUGCGGAGGGAUCAUUACCGAGUUCAUGCCCACGCGGGUAGAUCUCCCACCCUAUGUUAUCAUUACCUUUGUUGCUUUGGCGGGCCGCCAGGCUUCGGUCAGGCUACCGGCUCCGGCUGGUACGCGCCCGCCAGAGGACCCCAAACUCUGAAUGUUAGUGUCGUCUGAGUACUAUCUAAUAGUUAAAACUUUCAACAACGGAUCUCUUGGUUCUGGCAUCGAUGAAGAACGCAGCGAAAUGCGAUAAGUAAUGUGAAUUGCAGAAUUCAGUGAAUCAUCGAAUCUUUGAACGCACAUUGCGCCCCUUGGCAUUCCGAGGGGCAUGCCUGUUCGAGCGUCAUUACAACCCUCAAGCACUGCUUGGCAUUGGGCUCCGCUGCGAACCCAGCGGGCCUUAAAAUCAGUGGCGGCGCCCUCAGGCUCUGAGCGUAGUAAAUCUCCUCGCUAUAGAGUCCUGGUGGUGGUAGUCAUCAACCCCCAACUUUUCUAAGUUUGACCUCGGAUCAGGUAGGGAUACCCGCUGAACUUAAGCAUAUCAAUAAGCGGAGGA